UUGGUGAUGGUGAUGAGUUUGUAGAUCUUACUUUACUAAACAUUCUUGCUGCUUACAAUUAUCUCUAUCUAUAAUGAACUUGGCCCAGUAGUUUCAGUGGAAAAUGCUAGUGAAAAUUUACAAAUUUUAUGAAAAUUGUUAAAAAUUGACUAUAAAGGGCAAUAACUCCUUAGGAGGUCAAUUGACCAUUUUGGUCAUGUUGACUUAUUUUUAGGUCUUACUUUGCUGUACAUUAUUGCUGUUUACAGUUUAUCUCUAUCUAUAAUAAUAUUCAAGAUAAUAACAAAAAACGGCAAAAUUU
rnacentral:lncRNA from 1 species